rnacentral:rRNA from 1 species
UACAUGUGGGGCAAGCGUUGUUCGGAAUUACUGGGCAUAAAGGGUGCGUAGGCGGUUUGUUAAGUCACUGGUGAAAGUUUUCGGCCCAACCGGAAAAUUCGCCUGUGAUACUGGCGAACUUGAGUGCGUGAGGGGUGGGGGGAACGAGCAGUGUAGCGGUGAAAUGCGUAGAUAUUGCUCGGAAGGCCGGAGCCGAAGGGGCCCCACUGGUACGUAACUGACGCUGAGGCACGAAAGCGUGGGGAGCAAACAGG